rnacentral:rRNA from 2 species
UAGCAUGAAGUCAAACAA